GCCAGUGACGUCGUGGGCUGCAGCGCAGCAGCACCCAACGCAAGGCAGCCGGACCUGUCUUCAGGUCCCUUCCUUGGUGAGAGACAGGGGUACGCCAGAGGAAGCUGGGCGCUCGGCCUCUGUGCAGCCUCAUCUCCUGGAAUCUGAGUAUUGAAAACUGGGCUUUUACUUCGCACACCUCAGCACAGACUCCCAUGGGAAUCCAGGUCACAGCAAAGCAGCCCUGGGCCUCCAUUCUCCUUUAAGCAAGCAUGACAAUCCUCACUUCACUGAGUUUUUAUUAAAACUAGCAAUGACCUUAGAAAGCAAGGCAUGACCUCAGCUCCACUUUUGAGGCUGCAGUCCAUUCAGAGAGGUUUCGCAGACUCGGUAACGGCCAGAACAGACAGCCUGGGCCCUGCCGCAGGCUGACUCAGAAUCUUUGGGAGUAGUGACCAACUUCUGCUUUUGGAAAAACCUCUACAGGCGGUUCUGAGAAGUCCAAGGGUUGCUGGGAGAGGUUGCAGGUUGCACGCCAGGGCCUGUACUGACCACCUCCACGUGCCACUGGGGCUGUAAGGAGGAAUGGCGGCCGUGGGCAGCCUGCUUGGCCGGCUGAGGCAGAGCACCGUGAAGGCCACCGGACCUGCACUCCGC
rnacentral:lncRNA from 1 species